GCCAGUAAAUGGCAGAUACUCCUUCUCACUUAACCUCACUCUGACUCUGACUCGCCUCCCUUACUUGCAAUGGUUCUGGGCACAGCCAGACCCACGGAAGAAUCAAGAAAGGUCCAGCAGUCAUAAGUGCUGAUCAAAGACAAAAACCAAGAAGAACAACGAUGUGAGCAACAGGAGGAACAGAAGCAGGUCCAGGGACACCCAGCCUGGGCUAUGGGGACCCCAGGCAUCCUGCUCUCCACUACUCUGCGUUUCCUACUCUGCUUUGCCACCCGCUGUCAGAUAAAGACCUACACUUCCCUGCUUCAAGCCUUGACACCCUAUCCAACAGUUCUAGUCUUGUCCAAAACAGAUGUUUGCCAAAGCCAAAUUCAGCAUGCUGAAAAGCACUUUAAGACACUGCCUCUAAGAACACACUGCGUAUAAAAACCGGGGCUGCCUGAACCUCAAAGAGAUCUACUGGGCUCUCGAUCCAAAACAUUUCACAAUCCUUGACUUUGGGCAGCUAGUUCUACGUCCAACAUUGAUUGCACUGGAACAUCUAUUUCUAAGAAUUGACAACUACGCACAGCACUUGAAUCUUCAAGUCACUGGCACAAAUUGACUCUGAACCAAGAAUGAAAUAAUAACCGAAAGGUCAGAACAAAUUACAUUUUGCAUGUGUACCUUAGUGGAAAAGAGGUUGCCACCACUUUAUACAUAGAAAUACUCCCUAGUGAUGACAAAGACCAAUUUUUUCCUGAAGGCUGUUCAUUGUUUCCACAUUGACUUUUCAGUUCAAAGUUGGGGAAUGGGGGACACACAGGCAUAGAAUCCCCUACAACCAAAACAGAGAGGAAUGGCUCACAGCCAUCACCCACCACUCACGGAUCAGAGUCAGGGAACUUACUGAAGAAACUCCAGUCCCAAAAAAGAAGAAAACUGAGCUACUUUUCAAGAUCAAUUCCAUUUGAUAGUUUUACAAAUAGGAAGAUGCAAUAUUAUCACGUUACUGUAUAUACUCUGGGCUAGAUAGCUCCUCAAAGGGAGUAACUAACAAAUUAUUAUAAAACACUGAGCAAACAUAAUGAGUUAUGAUGAUAGAAUAGUAAAAGCCAUCGAAAUGCUACUUGCCCAUGGCCAAAUAGAAUAUUCAAGAAAUUGCAUUUUAAAGUAAACAUCUUUCUUGGAUCAACUGUGUAUUUCCCUCUAGACUACAUGUGCCCCUUGCUGGACAGGGCCGUGGUCCAGUCCAUCACGGUAUCCCGAUGACUGGCUUGGAGAAACGGCUCUACAACCACCUUCAGAAGUAAUGUAAAAAAAGGUGUCACAGGUGUCCUUAAGGAUACUCUAAAUGCUCCAGGAAAGUUACAAAGAAUCUGGCAGAUGUUAUUCUCAGAACUGCCUUUCAUAUUGUAUGUAUGAAUACUUUGAAAGUACGGGCUUUGCAAUCAAUGAUCUCAAACUGUCAAUGUCCCCUAAAUGGACAUAGGUGCAGGGAAAGGGUCAAGUUCAUGUUACUCAACCUCUUUCGACUCAGUGCAAUUACAAGUCAACUGAAUUUCAGUCUGUUUGGAAAAGGUUAAGCAGACUAAUGAGCCUGAAGUAAAAAUGUUCUCGAUGAUCCAUGGCUUUAAGAUUCUGGCCCUCUGAAGGCCUGAGCUUAUGAAUUAGACUCUAUCAAAUAAAAGGACUUCUCUAACGUGGAGUAUGGCCAUUCGCAUGCACAACCGAAUGCUCAUGUUUCUACCCGGGCCUGCAUUGUGAACCCCAGGGUCACGGUUCAGUAUUCCCAACAGACCCCAUUAUCAGCUACAUUAGCUCAACAAAUGUUUCAGUAAACUGAAGCAGCUAUGUAAUCUGAACAAAUAGUCAGCUAUUACGGGAUUUACACUCAUUGGCUCGUUAAUUAAAUAAUGUGUCAACAUAACAAAAUGGUUGCCUCUCGCUAUCUCAGAGGAGCAAAA